UACGAAGGGGGCUAGCGUUGCUCGGAAUUACUGGGCGUAAAGCGUGCGUAGACGGCUAUCUAAGUCGGGUGUGAAAGCCCCAGGCUUAACCUGGGAAGUGCACUCGAAACUGUAGGGCUUGAGUAUGGAAGAGGGUCUCGGAAUUCCCGGUGUAGAGGUGAAAUUCGUAGAUAUUCGGAGGAACACCAGUGGCGAAGGCGGCUCACUGGUCCGGUACUGACGCUGAGGUGCGAAAGCGUGGGGAGCAAACAGG
rnacentral:rRNA from 1 species